rnacentral:rRNA from 1 species
CGGGACACGUGGUAUCCUGUCUGAAUAUGGGGGGACCAUCCUCCAAGGCUAAAUACUCCUGACUGACCGAUAGUGAACCAGUACCGUGAGGGAAAGGCGAAAAGAACCCCGGCGAGGGGAGUGAAAAAGAACCUGAAACCGUGUACGUACAAGCAGUGGGAGCACGCUUAGGCGUGUGACUGCGUACCUUUUGUAUAAUGGGUCAGCGACUUAUAUUCUGUAGCAAGGUUAACCGAAUAGGGGAGCCGAAGGGAAACCGAGUCUUAACUGGGCGUUAAGUUGCAGGGUAUAGACCCGAAACCCGGUGAUCUAGCCAUGGGCAGGUUGAAGGUUGGGUAACACUAACUGGAGGACCGAACCGACUAAUGUUGAAAAAUUAGCGGAUGACUUGUGGCUGGGGGUGAAAGGCCAAUCAAACCGGGAGAUAGCUGGUUCUCCCCGAAAGCUAUUUAGGUAGCGCCUCGUGAAUUCAUCUCCGGGGGUAGAGCACUGUUUCGGCAAGGGGGUCAUCCCGACUUACCAACCCGAUGCAAACUGCGAAUACCGGAGAAUGUUAUCACGGGAGACACACGGCGGGUGCUAACGUCCGUCGUGAAGAGGGAAACAACCCAGACCGCCAGCUAAGGUCCCAAAGUCAUGGUUAAGUGGGAAACGAUGUGGGAAGGCCCAGACAGCCAGGAUGUUGGCUUAGAAGCAGCCAUCAUUUAAAGAAAGCGUAAUAGCUCACUGGUCGAGUCGGCCUGCGCGGAAGAUGUAACGGGGCUAAACCAUGCACCGAAGCUGCGGCAGCGACGCUGAUGCGUUGUUGGGUAGGGGAGCGUUCUGUAAGCCUGCGAAGGUGUGCUGUGAGGCAUGCUGGAGGUAUCAGAAGUGCGAAUGCUGACAUAAGUAACGAUAAAGCGGGUGAAAAGCCCGCUCGCCGGAAGACCAAGGGUUCCUGUCCAACGUUAAUCGGGGCAGGGUGAGUCGACCCCUAAGGCGAGGCCGAAAGGCGUAGUCGAUGGGAAACAGGUUAAUAUUCCUGUACUUGGUGUUACUGCGAAGGGGGGACGGAGAAGGCUAUGUUGGCCGGGCGACGGUUGUCCCGGUUUAAGCGUGUAGGCUGGUUUUCCAGGCAAAUCCGGAAAAUCAAGGCUGAGGCGUGAUGACGAGGCACUACGGUGCUGAAGCAACAAAUGCCCUGCUUCCAGGAAAAGCCUCUAAGCAUCAGGUAACAUCAAAUCGUACCCCAAACCGACACAGGUGGUCAGGUAGAGAAUACCAAGGCGCUUGAGAGAACUCGGGUGAAGGAACUAGGCAAAAUGGUGCCGUAACUUCGGGAGAAGGCACGCUGAUAUGUAGGUGAAGUCCCUCGCGGAUGGAGCUGAAAUCAGUCGAAGAUACCAGCUGGCUGCAACUGUUUAUUAAAAACACAGCACUGUGCAAACACGAAAGUGGACGUAUACGGUGUGACGCCUGCCCGGUGCCGGAAGGUUAAUUGAUGGGGUCAGCGCAAGCGAAGCUCUUGAUCGAAGCCCCGGUAAACGGCGGCCGUAACUAUAACGGUCCUAAGGUAGCGAAAUUCCUUGUCGGGUAAGUUCCGACCUGCACGAAUGGCGUAAUGAUGGCCAGGCUGUCUCCACCCGAGACUCAGUGAAAUUGAACUCGCUGUGAAGAUGCAGUGUACCCGCGGCAAGACGGAAAGACCCCGUGAACCUUUACUAUAGCUUGACACUGAACAUUGAGCAUUGAUGUGUAGGAUAGGUGGGAGGCUUUGAAGUGUGGACGCCAGUCUGCAUGGAGCCGACCUUGAAAUACCACCCUUUAAUGUUUGAUGUUCUAACGUUGACCCGUAAUCCGGGUUGCGGACAGUGUCUGGUGGGUAGUUUGACUGGGGCGGUCUCCUCCUAAAGAGUAACGGAGGAGCACGAAGGUUGGCUAAUCCUGGUCGGACAUCAGGAGGUUAGUGCAAUGGCAUAAGCCAGCUUGACUGCGAGCGUGACGGCGCGAGCAGGUGCGAAAGCAGGUCAUAGUGAUCCGGUGGUUCUGAAUGGAAGGGCCAUCGCUCAACGGAUAAAAGGUACUCCGGGGAUAACAGGCUGAUACCGCCCAAGAGUUCAUAUCGACGGCGGUGUUUGGCACCUCGAUGUCGGCUCAUCACAUCCUGGGGCUGAAGUAGGUCCCAAGGGUAUGGCUGUUCGCCAUUUAAAGUGGUACGCGAGCUGGGUUUAGAACGUCGUGAGACAGUUCGGUCCCUAUCUGCCGUGGGCGCUGGAGAACUGAGGGGGGCUGCUCCUAGUACGAGAGGACCGGAGUGGACGCAUCACUGGUGUUCGGGUUGUCAUGCCAAUGGCACUGCCCGGUAGCUAAAUGCGGAAGAGAUAAGUGCUGAAAGCAUCUAAGCACGAAACUUGCCCCGAGAUGAGUUCUCCCUGACUCCUUGAGAGUCCUGAAGGAACGUUGAAGACGACGACGUUGAUAGGCCGGGUGUGUAAGCGCAGCGAUGCGUUGAGCUAACCGGUACUAAUGAACCGUGAGGCUUAACCUUACAACGCCGAAG